GAUGAACGCUGGCGGCGUGCCUAAUACAUGCAAGUCGAGCGAACAGAUGAGGAGCUUGCUCCUCUGACGUUAGCGGCGGACGGGUGAGUAACACGUGGAUAACCUACCUAUAAGACUGGGAUAACUUCGGGAAACCGGAGCUAAUACCGGAUAAUAUAUUGAACCGCAUGGUUCAAUAGUGAAAGACGGUUUUGCUGUCACUUAUAGAUGGAUCCGCGCCGCAUUAGCUAGUUGGUAAGGUAACGGCUUACCAAGGCAACGAUGCGUAGCCGACCUGAGAGGGUGAUCGGCGACACGGGAAGUGAGACACGGACAAGACUAGUACGGGAGGCAGCAGUAGGGAAUAGUCCGCAAUGGGCGAAAGCAUGACGGAGCAAAGCCGCGUGAGUGAUGAAGGUCUUGGGAUCGUAAAACUAUGUUAUUAGGGAAGAAAAAAUGUGUAAGUAACUAUGCACGUAUUGACGGUACCUAAUCAGAAAGCCACGGCUAACUACGUG
rnacentral:rRNA from 1 species